rnacentral:rRNA from 1 species
GUGGGUAGUUUGACUGGGGCGGUCUCCUCCCAAAGAGUAACGGAGGAGCACGAAGGUUGGCUAAUCCUGGUCGGACAUCAGGAGGUUAGUGCAAUGGCAUAAGCCAGCUUGACUGCGAGCGUGACGGCGCGAGCAGGUGCGAAAGCAGGUCAUAGUGAUCCGGUGGUUCUGAAUGGAAGGGCCAUCGCUCAACGGAUAAAAGGUACUCCGGGGAUAACAGGCUGAUACCGCCCAAGAGUUCAUAUCGACGGCGGUGUUUGGCACCUCGAUGUCGGCUCAUCACAUCCUGGGGCUGAAGUAGGUCCCAAGGGUAUGGCUGUUCGCCAUUUAAAGUGGUACGCGAGCUGGGUUUAGAACGUCGUGAGACAGUUCGGUCCCUAUCUGCCGUGGGCGCUGGAGAAUUGAGGGGGGCUGCUCCUAGUACGAGAGGACCGGAGUGGACGCAUCACUGGUGUUCGGGUUGUCAUGCCAAU